GAUGAACGCUGGCGGCGUGCCUAAUACAUGCAAGUCGAGCGAACGGACGAGAAGCUUGCUUCUCUGAUGUUAGCGGCGGACGGGUGAGUAACACGUGGAUAACCUACCUAUAAGACUGGGAUAACUUCGGGAAACCGGAGCUAAUACCGGAUGAUAUUUUGAACCGCAUGGUUCAAAAGUGAAAGACGGUCUUGCUGUCACUUAUAGAAGGAUCCGCGCUGCAUUAGCUAGUUGGUAAGGUAACGGCUUACCAAGGCAACGAUGCAUAGCCGACCUGAGAGGGUGAUCGGCCACACUGGAACUGGGACACGGUCCAGACUCCUACGGGAGGCAGCAGUAGGGAAUCUGCCGCAAUGGGCGAAGGCCUGACGGAGCAACGCCGCGUGAGUGAUGAAGGUCUUCGGAUCGUAAAACUCUGUUAUUAGGGAAGAACAUAUGUGUAAGUAACUGUGCACAUCUUGACGGUACCUAAGCAGAAAGCCACGGCUAACUACGU
rnacentral:rRNA from 1 species